rnacentral:rRNA from 1 species
UACGUAGGGUGCAAGCGUUGUCCGGAAUUAUUGGGCGUAAAGAGCUCGUAGGCGGUUUGUUGCGUCGGCUGUGAAAUCCCGAGGCUCAACCUCGGGUCUGCAGUCGAUACGAGCAAACUAGAGUGUUGCAGGGGAGACUGGAAUUCCUGGUGUAGCGGUGAAAUGCGCAGAUAUCAGGAGGAACACCGGUGGCGAAGGCGGGUCUCUGGGCCGAUACUGACGCUGAGGCGCGAAAGCCAGGGGAGCAAACGGG